GACGAACCGUGCGAACGUUAUUCGGAAUCACUGGGCUUAAAGCGCGUGUAGGCGGGACGGCGCGUCGGCCGCUGAAAGCCCCCGGCUCAACCGGGGAAGCGGCGCCGAUACGGCCGACCUGGAGGGACGUAGGGGGGCCUGGAACUUCCGGUGGAGCGGUGAAAUGCGUUGAGAUCGGAAGGAACGCCCGUGGCGAAAGCGAGGCCCUGGACGUCUGCUGACGCUGAGACGCGAAAGCCAGGGGAGCGAACGGG
rnacentral:rRNA from 1 species